GGUCCCAUGGUGUAAUUGUUAGCACUCUGGACUUUUAAUCCAGCGACCCGAGUUCAAAUCUCGGUUUGACCU
rfam:Nematostella vectensis strain CH2 x CH6 NEMVEscaffold_900_Cont33820, whole genome shotgun sequence.